rnacentral:lncRNA from 1 species
CUCAGACUCUUUGCAUUAAGAGCUUGUCCAGGUAACAUCACCACCACUCCAGGGUCCCUCAACAAUGGACAUCACCUCUACCUCUGGUGUCUGCCUUUCUGCCUUCCUUUGACAUCUACUGAUUAACUGAUCUCCUGAAUCUCGGAGGACUCUCUGCGUUUUGAAUCUGACCCAGGCAUGCAAGAAAUCAUUCGUCCUUCAGCAAGAGGAGAGGGCCUCUAGUGCUGGUCUGUCUACUGAAAUGCUGCCCGGCUGAAGACUAGGAGGGAGCAGGGCAUGUCUGUGGGUUUUGCCUUUCAUGGGGUCUUGAAUGACCAGAGAGAGACUGGAUGUGGCUCUCUCUCAGGCUCCAGGGGGAAAUUUGAGAUAUUUCCCCUCUUUUCUCCCUCUACAACUCCUCACUUUUUUCUUUUUACAUUCUUCCUUUACUGCUCUAUUCACAAUGGUAAGAUUACAGGUGUUGCUGUUUGAUUUCCUUCUCAGUCCCCUCCCUUUUUACCCUCCUACAUACUCCCUCUCCCUCUUUUGUCCCACAUUUUUACCUGCUCCCACCGCCAUACAACCUUUCCCGCUCUCGCAACCCACUAAUCCCAUGACAUUUGCAUCAAGUGAUGUUUGCUUUGCUUGUUUCAGAGCAAAACCCUUUCUUUAAGCUUGUUCUGACAACAAUGGAGGCUAUAUAUUUUGAACAUGAAGAAAGAAUUUAAACAAGAUUUUAUUUGUAGACUACAAUGAAUUAAAUCAAAUCUCUACUACUGAAAGUAAUGUGGAUACCUUACUAAUAGCUAAUGUAAUCAGACAGUAUGUAUUUGGUGAAAUAACACAAGACCAAUUUUGAAAUGGUGCAGGAACAGUGUGAAUUGUGCACAGUGCAUACAGUUUGUACGUAGGAUGUUAUGUAAUGUAUAAUGUUUGCCAUGAAGUGUCAUUGAGGGCAUUCAAUGUUGGUGGCAGUUUGCCAAUGUGGCAAUGAUAAGGUGAUCUUGAGGCAUAUUAGUCGAGACAUGGGAGUAAUCAUCUUCUGAAAUUCCUGCCAUUGUGUUACUCUAGAAUACUACAUUACCUGCGUAAUACAGUAGCGUUUUGAUACCGCUGCGGCCUGACUUUGCGAGGGCCCAGUGGCCUACCAUACUUUGUUUUAGCUAACAGCGCAGGUGCAUAACUUCAAGGAAUCUUUGUAAAACCACAGCCUCUUAAAUUAUAGUUUAUGUUCUUGGAUCAUAAAAAAGCACAGUUGUGAUGUUUGGAUAAUUAUUAACAAUGACUUAGCCUACUGAUGUGGUUGCAAAAUUAUAGAAUAAAAACAUCAAAGAAAUCCGACAGGGUUUGGUAAACACAGCAGGUAGUGUCAGUGCUUUUCUGGAUCCACCUGUAUGGUAGCCUCCUCUAUUUACACUGUCCGCAUCUGUGCUGCUGUUGUAAAUGAAAUAUUGAUAUUUGGAUGGCCAUCUCCAUCUUACGAGGUAGUUUUGGAUGUUAUAACUCCCUCUAAUACUGCCUGGUAAUGAUGAUGAUGACCCUCUGCAGGCAUCAUAGACAAAAACACAUAACACAGAAACACAAUCCCACGUAGCACUGUAUUUUCUUAGCCCUUGAUCCUGGGUAGUAAUAUCUUAUGAGUUGCUGAUAGGUUUGAGUAGUAUUCUAAGGGUUGUGUAGACGUAGAUAUGCUCUGAGGUUGGAUAUAGUUAGUUAUGUGCUUUUGGUGACCUUCCCUUUCUUUGGCUUCCAAAGCACGUCUUACCUGACAGUGCUGGGCUGUACACAGGUGUUCUAACACUGUCUGGUAAUGAUGUCCCCUGAAAGCCCCUCAAACAACCACACCAUCUCAACAACCAAUAUAGGUGCAACGGCACUGUAGCAUACCUGAAGCAGGACGUGUUCACAGUUAGUUCGUUUUUUACUGUUUGGAAAUUGUUUUCAGUCAACUCUGUUUUAGAGAGACCCUCUGUCUGUUGGCAUUGCCAUUGUUCAGGUGUAGACUCUAAGUCACGUGAACUCCAGUUCAAAGUUCAGAACAUGAAAAGAUGGAGACUGUAGUAGGGUCGUUUUUUUUUAAAGGACUACAUAUGUGAAUAAGACGAUGAUGGAACAACUGGCUGAAGGAGGCAUCCAGAACAGGUGACACCAGACUUUAAAGGCUGACAGAGAUAGUCCCAUAGGAAAAGAGGAUGAGGUAAUAGUCCUAAACGUCGUCUGUGGUGAGCACCUACCGCCUAACCCCCCCAUUUGUGAAAAGUAGUUCCUCCCUGCUUCCUGCCCUUUGUGUAGAUUUUCCACCCCACCCAGUAGUUAAAGAAUAGCAGUGAAAUGACUGUUGCAGUAAGAGCCACUUCCUCUUCCCCUCCCCCAGUCGAAGCUGAAUCUGGGCCUUUGUUGGCUCGUGAUUGGUCCAGCGGCCCUACUGUACCUGCGUGCCAUAUUGUGCAGCUGACACCUGAGAUCUGUGUGAGAAAAAUAAACACAACAACCUCUAUGGCUCUCCUGCUCUCACUUUCUAUUUAUUUCUCUCUCUCCUCUUCUCCAGUGAAAGCCAGUGGCAUUAGCUGAAACUGAUUAUUGCAUUUAAACUAAAAUGAGAGGUUGAUUCAUUAUCGUUGAAGUUGUUUUUUUCAUUACUCUCAACCAGUUAUAACUCUCAACCUAUUGCCCUAUUCAACACCAUUAUGAUUGUCAAGGUAAAGUGAAGGUAUACAAGGAAACAGAGUUCUCAAACUGUGUGUUAUGUAACAAAAGGGUGGCUGUAAAAAUUGGGGAAUGCGGGCACAAAAGCAUUGUAAUGUCGUCAUUUAUUUGCAUGUCCCUUUAAAGUUCAAAUAAUUUAAAGAUUGUGUAAUAUUGCCUUAUGACAAACAAUCUGCUCCAGUUAUAAAUGUCUUACUAUAAUUGUAGAAAUUACUAUUACCUCCAAUACAUUUUUUAAAAACUUUUCACCACUGAUGUGUUGCUAUAAACUAUUCCAAUUCUCCAACUUAUUUCUGUCUUCUUUCUUCACAGCUUGUCUGUCAACAAGCUGCUGUAGCUACAAAGACCCUGGCUACUUUCCUCUGAUGCGCCUACCUAGACCUUAUAAUUGUUGUCUUACCAGACAAGUUUAGAUCUAGCUACUCUGUCUAAUACUGUCUGGUAAUGCCGUCCAUUACAAGGUGUCUCAUCGCUCUUCUUCUGUCAGUUUCUUGGACAAUCUGUACAAAUCAACUGGUAUCAGGUCAUGUGAUGUCUUUUUCCCUCAAUGAUGUUUUCCAUAACUGGCUUGUAAGGUUUAAUUGCAGGUCAAAUAAAAAUUGUGUUGAAUUAUGUCAUUGUAUGCAAUAUCCCUAGUCAAAAAAAUCCUAUAGGAUCCCCCCCAAAAAAAUAUCCAAUUGCAAUCCCAAAGAAAUUUCAAUCAGAUUUUGGAAGCUAUCCUAUAGGACUUUAUCCCAUGGUAUAGUGCCUAGUACCUAGGACAGAAUCCUAUAGGAGUCCAAUAGGACUGGUUCCAAAAUCUGAUAGGAUUUUCUUUUGGCUUCUAUUAUUGACUAGGGUAACUUGCUAUUUAAAAAAAAAAUUGUACAGGACAGAUGUAAGUACAGAUAUGGAGACAGAUAUAGAGAGGGGUAAAGUGGUUAAGGGCACAGACAGUCGGCCAAGCCAGGGCUCAAAUCCCCGUCUAGGAGGGGGCAUAUGUGGUCCGGAUUUGGGGGCUUAGACCGCUACACCAGACUCCAGCACACUGAUAAGAUUUUUCUAUUAGAUUCUUGUGUAUAUAAAAUCCUAUUCAAUAGAAUCCUAUAUUACUCCAAUAGGACUGGUUCCAAAAUCUGAUGGGAUUUUCAUAUUGGCCUCUAAUUAGAUCCUUGUAUUGGAAUCCUAUCGGAUUAAACACUAUACGCUAUGGUUAACUUAGCUGCUUAACACAUGGAGCACCCGUGGGCAGUGGACACGUCAACUAUAACAUCAUAAGCAACCAAUAUUGAACUGCCUCCUUUUCCACUUGAGAUGCCGACCCUAUAGUGGAGAACCGCCGGCAAUGUCGAGAUAGGGAAAAUGGGGAGGGAGCACCUUCUAAGGAUGGAGGGAGGGUAGAGGUGAC